CUCUGCGCAGCCGCUCCAGAAGCUCCAAGCCGUCACGCUACACGCCUGAGCUGGAGUUCGGAGCAUUGUAUCAUUGGAGCUAAUGAAAUUCUUCGCUUGGGACGCUUCGGGGAGAAGCCACAUGUAACACCAUUGGACAUGCUAAUCUUGUCUUGUCAUUACAAAAGCAGCAGACGAGUGCGCAUUGAGGGUCCGGGACUGAUUAAACGCGUGCGCACCCAGAUGGUAUGUCUCCAGUGAUAGUUCCAGCCAGGGUGUGUUGGACGGACGUUUGUAAUGACUUCUGCGUGAUGCUCCCGGGAGGUCAAGCGACAGUAAUAACCUUCAUCUCCACCACG